rnacentral:rRNA from 1 species
UCCACGCCGGUGGGCUAGUUCCCCAUAUGAGCACCUGCUGAUACUUCUAACUUCUUAACGAAAGAAAUUUUCUUUGGUCUACCCCAGGUGGAUGUCUAUCGUGUUCUUCGGCGUAGUUAGUUUGUUCAGCAGCAACGAAAAUAAAGGAAUCUAAUCUAAUCUAUUUAGUUCAGCCAAUCAUACAAAACCAUCCAGUUCAAACACGAAAGGAAGCUUAAUCCCCACACCGAUCGCACAAUCAGUUUGGUACGAACCCAGUCGAUAUGAUGAUAUUUAUCGGUAUCAAGCCAGUAACAUUUUCCCUCCAAUAUAAAACUAUUAUUUGUACUACACAAAAAUCCCAUUAUGGGCAUAGCUCAAAACC